GUUUGGUUUUGUUUGGGGGGGGGCAGGAGGAGUUGUUUUCUUCUUUUUGAGAGCAGAUCUGCUUAAGCUAAGAGCAAGAAAUCAACCCGCAGCAUUUAUUGGCGUUUCUCCUGUUAUUAUGCCUUUCUGGGCUGAUCGUUCCCUCCACCGUCUGCACCGCUGCCCAUCCCUGUUGGAGGGCAAGAGAGCUGCGGUUUGUCCCUGAACUGAAAAGAGGCUGGUGUUGGGUACCUGGAGCAGGAGGAUCAUUCAGCAGGGCUGGCGAGUGGCUCCAGCAGGAACAUGGAACCAGGGACUGUGACAUCGCAGCUCUUCCUUGGGAGGCAACAAGAUGCCCAUCUGGGACAUCAGAAACAAACACUCUCUGACUCUUGUCACUCAGAGACGACUACACAGCAACAUGGCUUGUUUACUGGCUGUUUUCAGUGGAUUGAAGCUGUGUGGCCUUGUCCUCAUUCCAGGCAAUGCAUGGACAGAGCUGUCUGGAGGAAAACCCGACCAAUUGUAUAGUUUUCAGUGCCGAGUGGCAGUUAGCCACUUUGCUUUUAUUGUUAACAGAUCGCAAUGUUGCCUUGCUGCUAUGCCACAC